rnacentral:sRNA from 1 species
AUCGCGUGGUGACUCCGGGCUUGAGGGUGAAUUAAGAAUAGGUGGUGAGUGGAACGUCUCUUGGGGUGUCGGAAUUCAAAACGGACCUGGAGGAUGUUGAUCUCCAAGAACAUGCCCUGGCGGCGGCUGCAGGGCAUUUCCUUCGGGAUGUAUUCGGCUGAAGAGCUCAAGAAAUUAAGUGUUAAAUCCAUUACGAACCCUCGGUACCUGGACAGCCUGGGGAACCCAUCGGCAAACGGCCUGUACGAUUUAGCUUUGGGCCCUGCAGAUUCCAAAGAGGUGUGCUCCACCUGCGUGCAGGACUUCAGCAACUGUUCUGGGCACCUGGGCCACAUUGAGCUCCCACUCACAGUGUAUAACCCUCUCCUCUUCGAUAAGCUGUACCUGCUGCUUCGGGGCUCUUGUUUAAACUGCCACAUGCUGACUUGUCCCCGGGCCGUGAUUCACCUCUUACUCUGCCAGCUGAGGGUUCUGGAAGUCGGGGCCCUACAAGCAGUCUACGAGCUUGAGAGAAUUCUGAACAGGUUUCUGGAAGAAAAUGCCGAUCCCUCUGCCUCUGAAAUUCGGGAGGAAUUAGAACAAUACACAACUGAAAUUGUGCAGAACAACCUCCUGGGGUCCCAGGGCGCACAUGUAAAGAACGUGUGUGAGAGCAGGAGCAAGCUCAUUGCUCUCUUCUGGAAGGCGCAUAUGAAUGCUAAGCGCUGUCCCCACUGCAAGACCGGGCGAUCCAUUGUCCGAAAGGAACACAACAGCAAGUUGACUAUCACGUUUCCAGCCAUGGUGCACAGGACAGCUGGCCAGAAGGACUCUGAGCCCCUGGGAAUUGAGGAAGCUCAGAUAGGAAAACGAGGAUACUUAACACCCACCAGUGCCCGCGAACACCUUUCUGCCCUGUGGAAGAAUGAAGGAUUCUUUCUGAACUACCUUUUUUCGGGAAUGGAUGAUGAUGGUAUGGAAUCCAGAUUCAAUCCCAGUGUGUUCUUUCUAGAUUUCUUGGUGGUGCCGCCCUCAAGGUAUCGCCCAGUCAGUCGCCUAGGAGACCAGAUGUUUACUAAUGGCCAGACGGUGAACUUGCAGGCUGUCAUGAAGGAUGUAGUUCUGAUUCAAAAACUUCUGGCAUUGAUGGCCCAAGAACAGAACCUGCCAGAGGAAGUGGCCACACCCACUACAGAUGAGGAAAAAGACUCUUUGAUUGCUAUUGACCGAUCCUUUUUGAGUACACUUCCAGGCCAGUCCCUCAUAGACAAACUUUACAACAUUUGGAUUCGCCUUCAGAGCCACGUCAAUAUUGUGUUUGAUAGCGAGAUGGACAAACUAAUGAUGGACAAGUACCCAGGCAUUAGGCAGGUGAGCAAAAAACUGGAUUCCCAUUGCUAGCUACAGAAGAUAAAUAAUAAACAUUGUGUAUUGAAACAAGAAA